GUCCUCUGUGGUAGGGGGUGCAGCCCUCUACCUGAGAUUUCUUGAGCAUAUAUUGACAGCCUGUUAUAGAAGCAGGACAUUGGCUGCAAUGGUUCCCCUGCUUUACCUGUGGCAGGUUAGGGUGUUAGGUCUGUGUUGUGUCAGGUUUGAUGGCAGUCUUAUGUAGCGUUUAGAUUAUGGUUUAUAUGGACUGGUUAGGACAGACAGGCAGGGCGUUUGUCUAGGUGACCUCUGGAGGUCCCUUCCAGCGCUAUUUCUCUGUGAUUCUGUGAAUUAUUUAUUUCCCCCUCUUGACAUGGGCGAUCUUUGAUUUCUAGUCCUGCAGCCUCUGUUUUGUGAGCUCUUUAGUAGCACAGGAAGUGAGUAUAUGAGCAUUUAGCUCUGGGUUUCUCAGGUUUUUGUACAGAGAUUCCUGCUGCUUUACUUUUCUAAGUAGGAAAGUAUCAGUAUUUGUCAUUUGUUUUUUCCUGCUGUAGGCAAACAUGUUGCUGGUGGAAUGAAGAGGGUGCAUGCUGGAUGGAGGAAGGGACUGUGCCCCUCCUAGCUCUACAAGAAAAGUCAAGAUCAAAGGUCCACCCAAGCCUGGUAGCCCACACAGGGGGGUAUGACUAAGGUAUGCCCAUUUCUGUAGUCAGCAGCACACAAGGGAGUAACGUGGCUAGCGUCACCUUUGGCCACCCUUGUGUCUUCAGCCUAAAUGGUUAGAUACCCAUUCACAGCUGGAUAGACUGGGACAUGAGACCACAGUAAGUCACAGUAAGAAGUCUUAACCACUUUACCCCCAUACCCUAACUCUGGGAGACACUUCAGUAUUGAACUCCCUCCUAGUCCAGUUGUAGAUCUUUGUAUACAGUUUAGUUUAUGUAGGUCACUCUUACUUUUGUAGCUCUGGGCCUAUAUAUUGUUCUGCCAGAGCAUUCCAAUCUUGAUCUGCACUACCCUUGCUAGUCUAGUCUUGGGGCUUCUUCCAUAGCCUGAACCCAAGACUAUGCACAGUCCUGCCAGGGUUUCUCAGCCAUGACCUGUAGUUUCUGGCCUGAUCUUCUUUUGAGAAGAGGCACCCAACGGUGCACUGGUGACUAGGAUGAGAACAUCAAGCAUGAUUCCAUUUGUGACCUGAUGUAGGAUUUCCAUCCUAAGCUCUUGAGGUGAAAAAGCAGGAGGGUGCUGAAAGAGCUACUUCCUCAACUUAAUGCUCUGCACAAGUAGUUUCUUGAUUUAAGAUUGUACAUACGCUUAGAGCUCAGGUAAUAAAGUCCCAGGGGAUUUACUCCUGAUUUUAUGCAGCAUAACUAAAGUUAGAACUACCUGCAAUUCCAGGGGAGUUGCACCUGCUUACACUAGGUCUGAAUUUGGUUCAUUGUCUUUAAAGUGUAAUGAAUGAGACAGGGCCUGGAUACUGAGUGGUUACUCAAUAUCCGGGUUAUUGAGUGGUUGCCAGUGCAAUUGGAAAGAGGCUUGUAGAGGCAUUAAGAGGGUUAAUUAGAACUGAGAUCUUUCACUUCCAUUUGUUCAGCUUCAUUUUUAGUGAGUAAGCCAAGCUAUCAGCAGGGACAGCUGCAUGAGAUUUUGCAACAGGAUGAGCCCUCAACUGAACAAAGAGAAACUAGCACCUCUUGUGGGCUGGAGGUGCUGGCCUUCCAGGUAGAGGUGAAUGUAGGCUGGGGACCAGGCUAGAGAUGUAAAAUUUCCAGAAAUUUUGAAGUCAUGGAAAAAAAACCCCAUUUUUCCCUCCAUUUUUUUUGG